rnacentral:rRNA from 1 species
UAAGGUGAAGAGGCCUUUAUGUAAAAGAAGGACGACAAGACCCUAUGAAGCUUUAUCUUAAUUGGAGCUCUCAGGCUCUUAUACGAUUUUGAUGGGAGAUCAGUAGAAAGAAGUCUUCUACUAUCAUAUUAAUCUUACUAGUAUUUCCUAACUUUAUAUGUGUGGCUAGCUACUCUAGGGAUAACAGCGCAAUUUCUCCCGAAAGAUGGUAUUGGAGGGGAAGAUUGCGACCUCGAUGUUGGCUUUAGAUAUCCUAGAGGCGUAGAAGCUUCUGAUGGUGGGUCUGUUCGCCCUUUAAAAUCUAACAUGAGCUGAGUUCAGAACGGCGUGAGCUAGUUCAGUUUCUAUCCUCUUUUUG